rnacentral:rRNA from 1 species
UACAGAGGUCUCAAGCGUUGUUCGGAUUCAUUGGGCGUAAAGGGUGCGUAGGCGGCGCGGUAAGUCGGGGUGUGAAAUCUCGGAGCUUAACUCCGAAACUGCAUUCGAUACUGCCGUGCUUGAGGACUGGAGAGGAGACUGGAAUUCCUGGUGUAGCGGUGAAAUGCGCAGAUAUCAGGAGGAACACCGGUGGCGAAGGCGGGUCUCUGGGCCGAUACUGACGCUGGAGGAGCGAAAGCCGUGGGGAGCGAACAGGA